rnacentral:lncRNA from 1 species
GCUCUGACCUCCUGGGUUCUAAGGGCCCUCCCAGCUCUGACCUCCUGGGUUCUAAGGGCCCUCCCAGCUCUGACAUCCUGGGUUCUAAGGGCCCUCCCGGCUCUGACCUCCUGGGUUCUAAGGGCCCUCCCAGCUUUGACAUCCCGGGUUCUAAGGGCCCUCCCAGCUCUGACAUCCUGGGUUCUAAGAGCCCUCCCGGCUCUGACCUCCUGGGUUCUAAGGGCCCUCCCAGCUCUG